GGAUGUUCCAGGUUUACCAGGUCCACCAGGUCCACCAGGGUUAAAAGGAGAUCCAGGUUCAAAGGGAGAAAUGGGUCCAAUGGGUUUGCCAGGACUGGAAGGCUCCCCUGGAGAAAAGGGCGAUACAGGAAUGCCUGGGCCACCUGGUCUCCAAGGACCCAUUGGUCCACAGG